rnacentral:rRNA from 1 species
AUUGAACGCUGGCGGCAGGCCUAACACAUGCAAGUCGAGCGGUUGAGGGGAGCUUGCUCCCUGAUUCAGCGGCGGACGGGUGAGUAAUGCCUAGGAAUCUGCCUAUUAGUGGGGGACAACGUUUCGAAAGGAACGCUAAUACCGCAUACGUCCUACGGGAGAAAGCAGGGGACCUUCGGGCCUUGCGCUAAUAGAUGAGCCUAGGUCGGAUUAGCUUGUUGGUGAGGUAAUGGCUCACCAAGGCGACGAUCCGAAACUGGUCGGAGAGGAUGAUCAGUCACACUGGAACUGAGACACGGUCCAGACUCCUACGGGAGGCAGCAGUGGGGAAUAUUGGACAAUGGGCGAAAGCCUGAUCCAGCCAUGCCGCGUGUGUGAAGAAGGUCUUCGGAUUGUAAAGCACUUUAAGUUGGGAGGAAGGGUUGUAGAUUAAUACUCUGCAAUUUUGACGUUACCGACAGAAUAAGCACCGGCUAACUCUGUGCCAGCCGCCGCAGUAA